rnacentral:rRNA from 1 species
UUGCUCUUCAACGAGGAAUGCCUAGUAGGCACGAGUCAUCAGCUCGUGCCGAUUACGUCCCUGCCCUUUGUACACACCGCCCGUCGCUACUACCGAUUGAAUGGCUCAGUGAGGCCUUCGGACUGGCUCAGGGAGGUUGGCAACGACCGCCCAGAGCCGGAAAGUUGGUCAAACUUGGUCAUUUAGAGGAAGUAAAAGUCGUAACAAGGUUUCCGUAGGUGAACCUGCGGAAGGAUCAUUACCGAGUGCGGGUUCCAACGAGCCCAACCUCCCACCCGUGUUUACCAUGACCGCGUUGCCUCGGCGGGCCCACUGGGGCCUGGCCCCGGUCGCCGGGGGGCUUCUGCCCCCGGGUCCGCGCCCGCCGAAGCGCCCUGGAACCCUGUCUGAAUAGUGAGUCUGAGUCUAUGAUUAAAUCAUUAAAACUUUCAACAACGGAUCUCUUGGUUCCGGCAUCGAUGAAGAACGCAGCGAAAUGCGAUAAGUAAUGUGAAUUGCAGAAUUCCGUGAAUCAUCGAAUCUUUGAACGCACAUUGCGCCCCCUGGCAUUCCGGGGGGCAUGCCUGUCCGAGCGUCAUUUCUGCCCUCCAGCCCGGCUGGGUGUUGGGUGUUGUCCCCCCGGGGACACGCCCCAAAGGCAGUGGCGGCGCCGCGUCGGGUCCUCGAGCGUAUGGGGCUUUGUCACCCGCUCGGGACGGACUCGUCGGCGCUGGUCUUCCUCCAGGCGACCCUUCGGGGCCCGUCUACCUUCGGUUGACCUCGGAUCAGGUAGGGUUACCCGCUGAACUUAAGCAUAUCAAUAAGCGGAGGA